UUUUCAAUCUGCCACAGUAUUUGAGCUCCAAUAGCUUUGUAGCUUUUGGACUCGACAGUGUUUUGCUUUUCCCUGAUCCCCGGCCCUUCUGCUGCAGCCAGCAGCCUGAACCUCGCCAGGCCGGCGCGCGCAGCGACGGGAGGGAUCGCUGCCGCCGAGCCGCCCUUGCUGCUAGUGAAGGCAGCUCCUGCAGACACGAAGCCGCGUCCAGGCUCGUCUCUGCAAGCACGAACGGGCCGUCGAGCGUGGUGGGUCUUGCACGGGAGGAAAGACCACUCAGACCCGCGCCGGGCUGCAGGGCUGAGUUUUCGGUGAGAGCCGGGCACUGCUGCCAGCUGCCCUGGAAAUAAAAGCCCUUCGUUGAGGAUAAACCAAAUACCAGUUAAAAAAAAUUAAAUGCCAAUUAAAAAAAUAUGCUUCCCACCCACAGUUUCCCAUUCCUUCUAUCCUCAUCCGCAUCUCACCUUCCCUCCCUCCCUCCCUCCGGUUGAGGCAGGGAGGGCCAGAGCGUGACGUGGUUUUGGCAUAAUUGGAGUAUUCAGCCUCAUACUUUGUACCUGUCUGUGUGUUGGAGAGACAGCCUCAACCUUGUAAUGAAUGCAUCUGAAUAUUUAUCUACUUCUCCUGAAUGGUACAUUUGUUUUUCAAAUACUUAAUUGUUAUUUUUAUUUAGCUGCAAAUUGCUGUUUUAUUUCCCUGGCAUACCUACUUGGACACUGCUCUAGUACAAGGUUAACGCUGAGUUUCUCUCUGUUCGUUCCCUCUUUUUUUAUUAUUUUUUAUUUUUUAUUUUUUAUUUUUAAUUAAUCGAGUGCUGACGAGAGCUUCAGGACUCCGUGCUUGUCACAGGGAUCUGAGAUGCGAAGAUAAUGGAAUUAGCCCUAAACAAACUGGCUCGUGCGGAGGAAUCAGCCGAACUCCCGCGAUGCCGCAGGGCGAGGGGAGCCCUCGGCACGUGCAAACCAGACCAGGUGAACACUGCCAGGAGGCCAUGGAGAUGGGAGAUAUCCAGGAAGGGAAGGCAAGAAGCAGCACCUGAACCGGCGGAUGCGGAGAGGAUGAUGAGGGAGAGAGUGUCGGCUGGGAGAAGGGCAGGAUUUUCCACAGAGGCUUUGAGGAAAGGCAGAGGGGUUAAGGAGACAGAGGGUUCCUGCUCCCUUUUUCUGCAUCCCCAGCUCCGUUGCAUUCAUGGGUGCAGAAGAAGGGUUAGCAGCCAGGUGGGAGCUGGAAGGCCACAAAACAAGAGGCAGGAGAGAGGCAGCAGCAUGUGGGGCUGCAGGUGAUGGGAAGGGAUGGAGAGGAGGGCAAAGCCAUGCGCUGGCAGGGGAGGGAAUUGCUUUUAAGGGAGGAAAAGGGAGGAAAAAUCCUCUAGUGGCCAAGCGAGCUGGAACGAAACAGAAGUGGAGGGAGG
rnacentral:lncRNA from 1 species